GAGCCAAGGACGCGAUGGAAGACGCCUAAGGGGUUUGACGAGACUCCGGCGCUGCCCCUGAUCACCUGAGAGCUUUGGUCAGGAGAGGAUAAAAAGAUCUGGCAAAUACUUCUUGCUUCUUAUAUGGAGAACAUCUAACCCCACAGCAUGUGCAUGUGGUGUUUAAAGAGAACUUUCUUUGGCUGUUCUGUUAAGGAGUGCAGAGACAGAAGGGGAGACCAGUUAGGAGGUUCUUGAAGUACUCCAGGGAUCCAGUAUUUUGGAAGACUUUUCAUAUACCUGCUAACAGUAACAACCCACAGGUCUGCAGCCAAAAUAUAGCUCUUUUCCAAAGUCCUGAAAUUAUAAAAAGUCUAAAAUGCCUAAGCUUCACUG